UCAGUUCUGUUCUCUCUUCUCUCUCUCCUCUCCUGGUCAGUACUGAUGGUGUGUGUGUGUCUGUAGGUCAGUCAUGCAGUCCUGCAGUUCUGCUCUCUGUAUCCUGAUCUUACUGGUCUCUACAUUCACUACUGUGUCUGUAUCAGCUGGUCCUUCAAUGAAGGUGAAAUGAAGCGGGAAGGCCUUGCAUAUUUCAUCAAGACAAUAAACCACAUACUGC